rnacentral:rRNA from 1 species
AUUGAACGCUGGCGGCAGGCCUAACACAUGCAAGUCGAGCGGAUGAAGGGAGCUUGCUCCUGGAUUCAGCGGCGGACGGGCGAGUAAUGCCUAGGAAUCUGCCUGGUAGUGGGGGAUAACGUCCGGAAACGGGCGCUAAUACCGCAUACGUCCUGAGGGAGAAAGUGGGGGAUCUUCGGACCUCACGCUAUCAGAUGAGCCUAGGUCGGAUUAGCUAGUUGGUGGGGUAAAGGCCUACCAAGGCGACGAUCCGUAACUGGUCUGAGAGGAUGAUCAGUCACACUGGAACUGAAACACGGUCCAGACUCCUACGGGAGGCAGCAGUGGGGAAUAUUGGACAAUGGGCGAAAGCCUGAUCCAGCCAUGCCGCGUGUGUGAAGAAGGUCUUCGGAUUGUAAAGCACUUUAAGUUGGGAGGAAGGGCAGUAAGUUAAUACCUUGCUGUUUUGACGUUACCAACAGAAUAAGCACCGGCUAACUUCGUG